rnacentral:rRNA from 1 species
CCCUGCCAUUUGUACACACCGCCCGUCGCACCUACCGAUUGAAUGAUUCGGUGAAACUUUCGGACCGUAGCCAGGACGCCUCACGGCGACCAGGCCGCGGGAAGUUAUUUAAACCUCAUCAUUUAGAG